UCAAGGAAUAGUUUAAGUAGAAUAUCAACUUUGGG
rnacentral:tRNA from 1 species